GACGAACGCUGGCGGCGUGCUUAACACAUGCAAGUCGAACGGAAAGGCCCCUUUCGGGUUCCUCGAGUGGCGAACGGGUACGUAACACUUGAGUAACCUGCCCUUGCCUUCGGGAUAACUUCAGCAAACUGGGGCGAAUACUGGUUAGGCAUCCUUGCUGCAAAGUGGGGGUUGGAGAGUGUCGGCGGUUUUGGCUGGACUCGCGGCUUAUCAGCCGUUGUGUUGGGUAGUUGCUUACGAAGGCUUUGACGGGUAGCCGGCCUGAGAGGGCGACCGGCCACAUUGGGACUGAGAGACGGCCCAGACGCCUAAGGGAGGCAGCAGUGGGGAAUAUUGCACAAUGGGCGGAAGCCAGAUGCAGAAACGCCGCGUGCGGGAGGACGGGCUUGGGGUUGAAAACCGCUUUCAGCAGGGGCGAAGCUUGUAGUGACGGUACCUGCAGAAGAAGCACCGGCUAACUACGUG
rnacentral:rRNA from 1 species